rnacentral:rRNA from 1 species
GCAUAUCAAUAAGCGGAGGAAAAGAAACCAACAGGGAUUGCCCUAGUAACGGCGAGUGAAGCGGCAACAGCUCAAAUUUGAAAUCUGGCCCUUGGGUCCGAAUUGUAAUUUGUAGAGGAUGAUUUUGGUGCGGUAUCUUCCGAGUUCCUUGGAACAGGACGCCUUAGAGGGUGAGAGCCCCGUACGGUUGAAUGCCUAGCCUCUGUAAAUCUCCUUCGACGAGUCGAGUAGUUUGGGAAUGCUGCUCUAAAUGGGAGGUAAAUUUCUUCUAAAGCUAAAUACUGGCCAGAGACCGAUAGCGCACAAGUAGAGUGAUCGAAAGAUGAAAAGCACUUUGAAAAGAGGGUUAAAUAGCACGUGAAAUUGUUGAAAGGGAAGGAUUUAUGACCAGACUUUUUCUGGGCGGAUCAUCCGGUGUUCUCACCGGUGCACUUUGCCCAGUUUAGGCCAGCAUCGAUUUUCGGAGAGGGAUAAAAGCUUUGGGAAUGUGGCUCCUCCGGGAGUGUUAUAGCCCAUUGUAUAAUACCUUUCUGGGGAUCGAGGUACGCGCUUCUGCAAGGAUGCUGGCGUAAUGGUUAUCAAUCACCCGUCUUGAAACACGGACCAAGGAGUCGAACAUUUGUGCAAGUGUUUGGGUGUUAAACCCUCACGCGUAAUGAAAGUGAACGGAGGUGAGAGCCCUUACGGGUGCAUCAUCGACCGAUCCUGAAGUUUUCGGAUGGAUUUGAGUAAGAGCAUAACUGUUCGGACCCGAAAGAUGGUGAACUAUGCGUGGAUAGGGUGAAGCCAGAGGAAACUCUGGUGGAGGCUCGCAGCGGUUCUGACGUGCAAAUCGAUCGUCAAAUCUGCGCAUGGGGGGCGAAAGACUAAUCGAACCAUCUAGUAGCUGGUUACCGCCGAAG